rfam:Triticum aestivum genome assembly, contig: Triticum_aestivum_CS42_TGACv1_scaffold_640815_T_7DS-0.203692_1BL-0.136177
UGGUGGCACCAACCGGGACUAAAGGGGUGCUUUGGUACCGUUUCGUGGCACCAACCGGAACCAAUGCCCCCCUUUAGUCCCGGUUGGUGCCACCAA